rnacentral:Y_RNA from 1 species
GGCUGGUUUGAGUGUGGUGGCAUUUACAACUAGUUGAUGAUAACCAGUUACAGAUUUUUGGUUCCUUCUCCAUUCCUACUGCUUCACUUGACUAGCCUAAA